rnacentral:rRNA from 1 species
AUUGAACGCUGGCGGCAGGCCUAACACAUGCAAGUCGAACGAGUGGCGGACGGGUGAGUAAUGUCUGGGAAACUGCCCGAUGGAGGGGGAUAACUACUGGAAACGGUAGCUAAUACCGCAUACCAUCGGAUGUGCCCAGAUGGGAUUAGCUAGUAGGUGGGGUAAUGGCGCACCUAGGCGACGAUCCCUAGGUGGUCUGAGAGGAUGACCAGCCAACCUGGAACGGAGACACGGCCCAGACUCCGACGAGAGGAAGCAGUGGUGAAUAUUGCACAAUGGGCGGAAGCCUGAUGCAGCCAUGCCGCGUGUAGGAAGAAGGCCUUCGGGUUGUAAAGUACUUUCAGCGAGGAGGCGUUACUCGCAGAAGAAGCACCGGCUAACUCCGUGCCAGCAGCCGCGGUAAUUC